CAAAAUCCUAAAGAGAAAGGCCAAGCCCAUUAUAAAAUUUCACUAACAUAAAUAAUAGUCCAACUAAAAUAAACAAAAUAAAUAAGAGUCCAAAUAAAAUAAAACAACUAUAAGUGGAUGUCCUCAUCACUUCCACGACUAAGAGAGAAAAAGGGAGGACACUUGGAAAAUGAGAUGAAGAAGAGAUAAGCUGAUACUUCUUAGGAAAUUACUCGUAGCAUUAUUUCUUAAUUUUUCUAAUAUGAAAUAUAUACAGUAUUAGAAAUAGCUAUAGCAAGCAUUCUGAAGGUAUGGGAUUACAACAAUUGUCUUACAUAUAUGUCUGUCCUCUCUUCUUUUAACUCCCAAACCAAAAGCAAAAAUUACUUAGACGAUGGCUCAACUUCUCGUUUGGGCCGAUUGCGGGUGCGUGGUGCUGCAGGUUCAUUUUCUAAAGGAAUGUUAACUUCAUCCUCAUCCUCCUUUGCUUCUAGUAUAGCUUGGUUUAUUGCAACCUGGUUCAUCACACAACUGAAGUUAUGCACCAUCUUAUCUUCAAACAUGAAUCAAGUACUUUGAAUACACACAAGCCUAUAAUGAUACCUGACACAAUUUUUCUUCAGGAAAAAAAGAAACAAAAGAUGAAGGAUAAACACUGCUCCAGAUCUUGAGAAAUGAUUGAACAGCAAAUAUCACAAUUUGUAGUGAUAUUUAACAAAUCAAGUUAUGGCCAUUGAAAUUCAGAUAUUGCUAGUGAUAAAACAGAACCGCCUGGUGAGUUAGCAACUAGCAAUUACUAAAAUUCCAAAACCAUUCAUAUAUAAAACUUAAAAUUCAGUUGAAAAAUUAACAAUGUAAGAGAUAAAACAGGACAGCACUUUGAGCAUUUUAGAAUGAUACUUGGACACUACUUGAGAAACUAUAAACUUAGUUUAUUUAAGAAUUUGCAUGUCACAUAUAACCACGUUGGACUGCAAAAAUCAUUUCAGCUACCUCAUGCAUAUUCAGUUUUUCUUUUUCCCCCACUACUACACAUUGGAGGAUGCUGAGAAUCCAAAGAGGUGCUUCGCUUAUAGUAUAUAACGGAUAAAAACUUUUCACUUCUAGUAACAGAAAUUGUAAUAUUGAACUACCAAGCAUCUGCAUUCCAUUAAUUCAAGGAAAUGUCUUUGGUUACUCAUGGACAGGCUGGAAGCAAGCAAUGUAGAAAUUAUAUACGAGUUUUUCUUAACAGAUCCUAUCUCCUUAGGAAAAAGUUAUGAAUAAUUACAGGAAAAAAAUUUCACUCAUAUCUUUUAAUAAAGACUUUUUGACUGUGCCCAGGGAUAAUAUAUGAAUACACAAAAACUUUUUUCUUGAGCAUAGCAUCUCUCCAUUUACAUAUACUUUUCUUCUUCAUUCCUUAAUCAAUACUGCUCUGAGAUGCUUCCUGAGAUAAGUGCAACUAGCCCACACAUUUUUCGCUCUUUCUAUGAGAAUAUAAAGGGUGAGACAACAGUCUAUAUUCCUUGAAAUUUUCCCAUAGCUUGCACCUCUCUAGCCCUAAGACUUCAUUGUGACCAGUCUUGUAGGUCAAGCCAGCAGGUUGUCUUACGAAUCAGUUGCAAGCUUUGGCAUCCUUGAAGAAUUGAAGGAGACAACCUAAGAGAUCCGAGCUUUAGCGAAGUUAUCAGUAAAUAUUUGAAUUUGGCCUCAGGCUUGAGUUUCAAAGUUCUAAUAAAGGACAUCUUAGUUACGUUGUGACAUGGCCUUGCAUUAGCAAUCAAGAAGUUUAGGCUUCUAUUAGAGUUGACCCACAGCAAUAGCAUGCUAGGCUGACAUGUGGGAUCUCUUCAUCGAAGUGAAAAUGACAUAAGUUCAAACUCAAAUAGGAAGCCUCAAGUUAAGAUCCUCAUGCAGGGGUACAGAGUUUUAUUUUUGAUGCACAUCUAAAAGGAGAACUGUAAAAACGGUGCCAAUAGACUAUUUUAUUUAGGGAAGUUGAAACUUCUCAAGCCUUCAUGACGUUAGCACAUUGUGGACAGUGUCUGGGUAAGCAUUGGCCCCAUGAUAAACGUGCAAGGAGACUUCAGCAAGAUUAUUGAAGUCAUGCAUAAAGUGUUUCUGUGAGGUCAUACUUACAAUAGGAGUUUCUGGGAACUGCUAAUUGUGAAUUUCAAGAGAUAUUGAGAAAUUUCUUACUAAGUUCUGGAUCUUUGAAGUUCAUUUACUUGAGAAAUUAUUGCUUGAGGUGUGAUGCAGUAGCAUUUUCAUAAUUUCAAAUUAUUGUGAGGGAAAUAUUCACUUGUUGACAAUCUGGUGGAGUUGAGAUUUUGAAGAGCUGACACUGAGGAUGAGAUCUUGGUUUGCUAUUUUAGGGAAGGCAUGUUUACAAGUAUCAGUCAUUCCCCAUCAUACUACAGGGUAGCCUUUGGAUCCUUUUGAACUAAGCAAGCAACAAUCUUAGAAUCCUGGGGUAAGGGGUACCUUACGGUAGACUUUUGGGAUCUCAAAGAACCUCUAGAGUUCCCCAUGCAAGUUUGUAUUUGCAUGCAGCAUUGGAACCGCGGCAGACAUUAGGCAUUGAUUUUGGGCAAAAGCUACAUAAUAGGAACCACUAUGCUCCAUGGGAUAUCAUCUUGCUAUAGGCCAAAUAAGCUAUUGUAACAAGCAUACCAAGAGCCUUGUGUGUCAACUUGUCUGCAUUGGCUGCUAUGGGUUCUAGCCUUGCUGCCUUCAUGCAAAGAGGUCAAAUAGAAGGCAAGUAUUGGCAAGAUGCCAACGUGAAACAAACCGUGUAGUAUGAUCAUAGUUUGAUGGUACUUCAAGAAAGAAUUGGAUUUACAUGUGAUCCUACUAAACGGCACUAACUUGAUGACCACAAGGAUAGUUUCUCCCUUACCACCAAAUAUUCAUGGAAUGAACCAUGUGUUGAGGGAAAACGUGGGAAAUAAUCUACUCAAGAUCACCGACAAAGAAACGAAAUGAUGUGGGAGUGGGAAUCACGACAAAUGUGAGUAAUGCGGAUCAGAAAGUAUGUUGGCACCAGGUGCAACAUGGUGACACAUUGAGUAUUCAUGCUAAUAACCUUCAUGGCCUCAAACUUGCAAUUGGUCAUCAAUAAGAUUCAAAGAUACAUUUAAACCGAGCCAAAGAAUCUAUCAUCACAUAUUCAGUUAAUCCAAGAAAACAUGACAGUAAAGGAAGGGUAAUGUUACUAGAAUGAAUGGAGAUGUGUGUUGAAAGAGAACUUCCCCUCCUUAUCUAGAGAAACCCGUGACCCAUGACUUAUUAUUUCUUAAUAGGAGAGAAAGGUUGGACUUUGGGAACGAAGACUUUGAGGCAUCAAAUGGGUGAAAAAUAGACCAGUGACACAAGACCUUGACUUCCAUCCAGUGUGAGUAAACUAUAUACUGUCAGAAGUCUGUACACAUAAGUUGAGUUCAUUUUUUGCUAUUAACAGCUACCGAUGUAAGCAGCCACUAAUUGUGGAUCUACCCCUCUCCUUGUGCCAAUAGUGUCGUAAUUGUUUAUCCUACUCUUCUACUUGCACAACCUCCCGAUAUUAUCCCUUCAAGCAUUAUCUUUCCCCAUAUGAGCAGCCGUCAAAUACGGCUCUGCCCACCUGUCCUUGAAUCAAUAGCAUCACAAUUUUGUAUCCUACUCUACUACUAGCACAACCUCCUGAUAUCGUCUAUUCGAGCAUUAUCUUUCUCAUCAUUUCAAUGCACUAAGGCCAUCUCACCACUUCUCUUGUCCCGCUUUCAUGACACGAACGAAUUAUAAUCUCGCAAGAAAAGAAAGAUGCGGCAUUUUUACACUAGUAAAUACAUGUUAUCAUAAAAUUACCAUUUGUUAUGCAAAAAUUUAAAAUUUCCAGAUAUGGCCUUAACGUUCAGGGGCAGACCUGGGGGGGGGGGUUUAUAGGGGCAAUUGACCCCCUAGAUUUUGGGGAAAAAAAAAUUAUUGCUUAGCUUUUUUUUUUUUUUUUUCCUCAAUUUUUUUUAUUAAAAGAUACCCUGUAAAUUUUAUUUUUGCCCCCCUAACCAAGGUCGUCUGGGUCUGCCCCUGCCUGUUUAUAGCAAAACUUGUGCAUCAAGAAAAUUAAAAAAUAUUUUACACAAGGUUUUAGUGUACAUAUUAGACGAACAUGCUGCACUCAACAGGCAAGUUACUUUUAGACCCGAAUGGACAUCCAGAACUAAAAGAAGACCAAAGCAGUGCAUUUGUAUUUUAACUCGAAUCUAGUAUGGUAAGUUCAAAAGAUCUAUACAGAAAAGACAGAAAGAAAUGUGCAAGGCAGUAUCAAAAUCUUCUAUGUCCAUCAGAUAUCAUGUUUCGUGAAAUUCUAUACAGGUGCCUUUUUCUGCCAUCUUCUUUUUGCAAGAAAACAGAUAUAUGUUUUUAAAGACAGCCACUUGGUUGCCAAUGCUAGCCAUCCUACACCUGCAACCUUCAUAAAAAAUAUGCACCUAAACAGUCACCAUAUUGCCUCCCACCAUCAUAUCCUUUCUCAAACAUCGAACUCUCAUACAAUACUACUCUGUUAUUGUCCUUCAUAACCAUAUAACUCCAAAAUAGUCCACAUCCCACUGAAUGUCCAGUACGGUAUACGAUAUGGGAUCGAAAUAGGGACAUUCAAUGAGACAGGAAGUAUGCCUCUCCCCAAGGCAAACAUCACAAGAUUACAAGUAGCAACACAUUGCGAAUGAGGUACAUUUUUUCUUUUUAGUCUUUUCUUUUAGCUUUAGAAUAAAGUUUCAGCAUUCUUGAAAUGCCCAAAUGGGAAAGGGGAAACACAUACAUUACCCUAUGGCCCCAGCUUCAUGACGUCCUAGGCAUUUAUAAGUAAAACAAAAGGAGGAGAAAUAUAAAUCCAAAUAAAGAGACUGCAAAAGGAUCUUUUGCCUACUCUUCCUCCCCAUUUAUAAUAAGUAGAAGGUAGGUAUGACAGCAUCUAUAUGUAUUUCGGACCAAUCCAGGUUUAAGUCCAUAAAUUCGCACUUUGGACAAUCCCCUCAGCUGUGCGAGGCCUCCUCAUGAAACUAUUCUCUUCCUAUUUGCUUGUGUUAGUUUCAGACAGAGUUGGUGCUGUUUGCCAAUUUUAUAUCAAUUCCAUCUUAAACCAAUGCAUUUUUACUCGACAAAACAAAGAAUAAGCAAUUAAUUUUCGUCAAGCAGAGAAAUAAUAAUGGAUCUUGGGCUAGUUUAGUGAAAGGGAAUUUUCAAACUUGCACAGACAACUUGUACACUAGCUAAUGGGACUUGCUUGCAUGAAUGUUAAAAAGGAUCAUCUUUUAAAAUCUGAACACGAAGCCACGAUACAUGUCAAGUUAUGUUGAAACGGAGGUAGGAAACUAAUUCAGAAGGUGAGGGAUUUAAAUAAGAGUAAUAAUUUUGAAACAAUAUAAUAAUUAAAAAUAUUAUACUUUUCUUGACAUAUAACACUAGAGUAUUUAUUAUUUUUACUCAGAAAAGUGGAGGUAAAUUUUCACCCUCAAGAGAUCAAAACACACAAUGGCCACAAAUAAAUAACUGCCCCCAAAAAAUAACAAACUAACUUUCCUAUAACCAUGCUUCCGACAAAACCUUCCUAUAAAUAUACCAACGUUGUCUUGGUGCACAACACAACCUAAUUUUCUUACAUCUUCUAAAACAAAUUACUCGAAAAUGGCAAGGCAUAUUCAAUUUUCAAUUCUCUUUGUUAUAGCUUUAUUCUUCUUUUCCCUCCCCAUUGUCGUGAACUCCCAAGGCUCUCCCGGCAAGGAAUCAUUUUACGUCGAAGGACAAGUGUAUUGUGACACUUGUCGUGCUCAAUUCAUUAAUAAGUUUACCCAGUUCAUGCCUGGUACAUUACUAUGUGAAUAUAUUAUUAUUAUAAAAUGUUACUCAUGUCAUAUUUUGUAUCUCCUAGGUAGCAUCAUUAACGGCAAACCCUUAAGACACUCAAAAUAUAACUCAGUUAUUGAUAGAGUGAAUGAAUCUAUCGUUGUUUCUUAAAAUCACACGUCUCUUUUCCAUCAUAGCACGCAUUUCUUGUCAUGAUAUAUAACCUAUACACAUGCUUUCUUCAUGUAGGUGCUACUGUAAAACUUCAAUGCAGAGGUGAUGACGAAGGCAACAUAACAUAUACCGUUACAGGUAAAACUAAUGAAAAAGGCGUCUAUCGCCUAUUUGUCGAAGGGGAUCAUGAGGAUGAAAUUUGCGAAAUCAAACUGAUUUCGAGCACCAUAAAAGAUUGUGAUGAAAUUCCUGACGAAGGAUGGGCAAAACAAUCAUCAAGAAUUACGAUCACAAAGAACAAUGGUAUGCAUGGUGAUGUACGCACAGCUAAUGCUCUUGGAUUCUUUAAGAAAGAAGCUCUACCAGAAUGUGUAGAACUCUACAAGGAAUUGGGUAUCUUGCCCCCAGAUCUGUGAACAAGAAGGAAUCUGAUUUAUUAAAAGAUCCUUAAUUUCCUCAUUUUUUUUUAUUUUUUAUCUUUUGUAAUAGCUUUGAAAGUACCAUUUUUUGUGUAUGGAAAUUUUGUUUUUUGUUUUUAUCAAAGUUCCCAAGAAUUUUCUUGUGGAAAGACAAUAAAAUUUUGUAGAUUAUGAGAAAAAAUCGAUAAUUGCAACGUGACACAACUGUCGGUAUAUUAAAUUGGUUAAAUUAAGUUUUUCAAAUUUUAAUAUUUUAAAUUUUCAUUGUCAAUUUUAAAUUAAAUUUGAUAAUAUAUUUUGCAAAUUAUCACUGGCAAAAAAUACCAUUGUAAGCUUAAAUAUGUUAAUUGCUAUUUUAUUACUUAAAGAGUUUUCAGUUAAUCAUAUUUAAUUUUUUAAAAAAUUAAUAAUUAGGAAGUUUCGAAAUUCUAAAAUUACAAAUUAUUUCUCUAUUUAAGGGGAAGAUUAUUGAAUUAAAACACAAUUUUGAAUGGGAUAACGCGGGAGCAAUUUCACUGUGUGCUUCGCGAAGAAAUUGACAACAGCUAAUAUGGAAAAACUGAUCGCAGUCUCGUGGAAAUGGUGGUGGGUUAGAAAUUUAUGGAGUUUGGUCUUUUUUUCGGGACGAAGCUACAGCAACAUAGGCGGUGACAUAGAGUUUGACCGAUUACACACAUACAUAGGAGGUCGGCAUUUUUUUAUUCAAAUGGGACCCGCAGCAAUGUGAGAGGAUGUCACUCCAUCGAUCAAGCAUUUUCAGGUACAUCAGCAAAAUUCUUUUUUUCCCUUUUCGAAUUUACAAUGUAAUCUUUUUCUCCGUGAAGCAAAUGAUGUAGUAAACGCCCCUCUCUCGCAAAACAUGCUUUUGGUACUUCUCAAUCAAAGGAGUGGGUUGACACACCUCGAACUUCAUUCCAAGAACUCUAGCUGCUAAUUUAAUAAAUAAAGUUUUCAGUAAUUUUAAAAAAAUAAAUUAAAUAUACUGUAUAAAAUUGACUUCUAAGGAGAAUUGCUCGUACUUUUUCUUGAAGUUAUUAAAGACUUAACACUUACAAAAGUUAACAAUUCAAUAUUUUUAACAAAAUCAAUAAAUUAACAAAUUGCAAUAUUUAAGCCAAAAAUCAGGUUCAAAUAAAAAAUUUAAGAAAUACUUUUUAGCUACAAUGAGUCGAUAGUCAAAAGUUUUACUUUCACCGAUUCUCUUUUCAAGUUUAAUGCUUGAACUUUUAAUAACAUAUUAUUGCAAUAAAUAAUUAAUAUUCAUAGAUUUAAUUAUCCAUUCUGGGAGUAUUUUCUUCAUUUGACAAAUUCAUCAGCAACACCAAAAUUCUCCCUACCUAAUGCACGGUAUUUUAUGUAUCCAGUUGGAUAUUUUAGCCAAUUAUGUAUCAACGUUAAAAUAUUAAUUAUGAAACUAUAUUCUAUAAAUAUUUACUAUUACAACAAAGAAUUAAGCCAUUUAUACUUAUUUAUUGACACUUUGAUUAGCCGGUCCCAUCAGUCCUCUCACAUGAGGUCGGGUCCCAUGUGGGGGUCAUGACGUGGGGUCUGACCUCCAUGUGAGAGGAGAAGGUGGAUCCGAGUAAACCAAAGUGUGAACAAACAAGUACAAGGAGCAUAACCCUACAACAAAUCGUGAAGUUAAGGCAACUAGCAAUUUUAUUAUUAUUAUUAUUAUUUUAUUUUUAUCCGGAUCUUAUUUUUGAAUGUGAUCUACACUCGGUGAGCAUAUAUGAGCUUGGAAUUGUCACCUCUCAAUUUGGCCUCAAGCAUUUUUCCUCCUCUUGGUCAGAAACAUGCCGUGCUCCACCGCAUCAAACUCUAAUUGUUGCACCUGAUAAGCGUCCAAUAAGCAACCCUCUGAUAACGGUCCUGCGAGGUCCUGGCAAGGUGGCUUAGAUGUUUUCCGUCGACCAGAGCCGACCGGCACGUUUCUGAGGGCCCCACCGGCGGUCCAGUACCUAUGGCAGCCCUUACAAAAGUGCCUAGGCUGGUUGACAUUGUAGUUGUUGAAGUAACAAAACUUUGUUUCUAAGCUUUGGCAUCUUGGGCAUGGAAUGAUCUUUUGUGGCCUUUUCUCUACCGUUUGAUCAGCUUUUUUCGGCUCAUCUUUGUUUGUUGAUUGUCUCUCUUGAGCUGCUAUUGUUGCACCAAAUAAUUUGAUCCCAGAUAAAUUGUUGCUGUCUUGUAUUUCGCCCAUCCUUAAGAGAGAGAGAGAGAUUUCAAGAUUAGGAAAGAAUGUCAAGUAUUUGAGAAAGAUGCAUGUUUUAGGUCGUUGACAGAUUUAUAUAGAUAGAUAUAGAGAGAGAUAGAUACAAAUUAACAUGUACCACUAAAACCUAAAAGAAAAAAGUGCAUAAACCGGGCUAGGUGGAUGGGGAGUAAGAUUGCUUGACGAAACUCAUUCUGAAUCUUGACUGGUAAAUAAGAGUGUUUAAUAUAUAAGUUUACAAGAGAAAUCUUCCAUGACGUGAAAUUGAAAAACUACAUUUCUAUUGUGUAGACAACGCAUCAGUGAAGGAUCAAAACCGACAUUGAGGUAACUAAUUUUUCAUACCAGUGAUUCUGAGAAACCAGUCUUCUCCUUAAGGUAGCAAGUUUGUAUAGAUUAUGAUGAGAGCGGCCAAGAACUGAAGGAAUCUAUAAGAGGUAAGAAAGUUGAUGCUAAACUUUUCUUUCCGCAUCAUAAUACAAAGUCUCUGAAGUGGGCCCUGGACAAGUAGGUUCAAUAUUGAGUUAUUGAAAGUGGGAGCCUAAAGAUAGAGAUGUUUAAAGAGAUAAAGCAAAAGGCCAAAAGAAUUUUUGAUACGAUCAGUAUACGUAAUCCAUUUGGUUUCUUAUCGAUUACGAAAGAUUAUACGAAUAUUUUGGCACAUCAUUCAUGGCUCUGGGUUAUCGGUUUUCAAUUCUUAAUGGUGACGUUUGGAGAUAUUGAAGGAAACUAGAUAAUGCAUUAAUUAAUUUCAAGGAUCCAGUAUUUUUUUUCUUGUUUUUCAAAUAAAAUAAAGAAUAAAAAAUACAAACAAUGUGGAACUGGCUAAAUAUGAAGGGCUCGUUUGGCAUGAUUUUUGUUUUUACUUUUACUUCUUGCAGAAGAAUUUUUGAAGAAAGCUAUUUUAAUUUUUGUUUGAAAACUAAUAUUUAAAAGCAUUUUUUAUUUCGAAAGUGCUUUUAGAGGAAGUCGCAUUGAACCAACUUCCUCUAAAAACUCUUCUAACCACCAAAAACAUUUUAGCAAAAUUAGUCAAACGAGUCCAAAAACAACUUUUGAACCUCAAAAGCCCUUUUUGGCUUUUCAUAAGCCAUGCCAAACUGACUCUAAGACUCCUUUGGAUGUUAUUAAAUUUUCAUUUUGUGGAUAUAAUCGGACUGAAUUUUGAAUUUUUUUCGAUCAAACUAGUCAAUCCAGUCUAGUUAUACAACAUUGAUUUUAAAUAUACUUUGUACUUUGAUGAAAGACUUGCAAUAAGACACAACACAAUUUGGAAAAAAAAAAAAAAGAAAGUAUUUUUAUAAAUUCAAGAAACCACUUUUAUAUGUUAAAAGAGUUCCAUGUUUGAAACUUGUCCUAAAACGAUAGCGUAUAAAGAUCUCUGUCCAAUCCAAUUUGAUUAUAUUAUGUGAAUUUUAGGGGUCAACUGUUGAGUAUAGUUAGAAAAACUUAAAAAUCGGAUAAGGUACUUCUCCAUAUCCAUAUUAUAUAAAAGAAGACCCAAAAAAAGUGAAUUAUUAUUCAAAGCCAAAUGCUUAUUAUGGUAAUGAUAUUUCUUAUAGAUAACGCUUUUUCCUUUUGAAAUAAUCUAUACGAAUUUGAAAUUGACGUUUUUGUUGUUACUUUUCUCAUCUCAUAUACAAGUGUCUUUCGUGUGUUUUUAGUUGAAAACAAUUAAAUAUAUAAUUGUAUAAUGGGAUUACUUUAAUAAAUAUAUCUUCAUUAGAUUAAUUUAAAAGUUGGCCUCAUUUCCAACUUUUUUUUCCCAUUUAUAGUGCAUGUUUGGUAGCAAUUUUCACUCCAAAAAAUCAUUUUUUUAACCGUUAUUUCAUUAUUUCAAUAGUCAUUUUUUACUUCUUUACUCACAGAUGGGAUCCACUUUUCUUUCUAACGGUUAAAAAAUCAAUUCUCAUAAUCACUGUCGAUCAAGCUCAUAAUCUCGACAACAAACACUGAUCAUUCUUUAAUUGGAAAUAUGUGCACUUUAUUGUUUAGGGGACUGUAGAGUCUCUUAGGCGUUUUCCCAUUACUUUGUUCGAUACAUAAUUGCUAGAAAUUUUGCAAUAACUUACGUGAGAGUUUGUUUCCUGAAAAAGAGAAUUUAUGAAAUUACUUCUUCUAGAGUUACUUGGUGAAAAGAGAGAAUUUCUAAUUGUUAAAUACCUAAUGAGACCAUCUCUAAAAUCUCGUGUCUUUUAGCAUUUUCUACUGAUGUCGUUUCACAACUGUGAAAGAGAUUACUUUCCUUCAAGUUAUAUCAAUCAUUUGAUGGACGGUAGGAUGUGUUGGAAAAGCUAAAUGGAUAGUUGCUUUCUUGGGUGGCUUAUCAAUCAAGAUAUAAAUUAUUAAAAUUGCCUGUCUAAUGUUAACACUGCAGUAUUAUUCUAACCUAUUCUUGUUAGAUCAUUUAUUUCUCUAUAUGUAUAAAUGUCACAACCUGACAAAAAUCUAGUGCAAGGGCCACAUUUAUGUACAUAACACGCCUUAAUAAAUAAUAUGAUAAGAAAUUAUUGAAUUUCAUCGAAUGUAUGGAUCUUACAGAUAGCAGAAAAGGAUUCAUCACAAGCAUUGUAAGCAUAGCAAAGACAUGAAUUACAGCUACUGAAAGAGAUGAUAUCUCAUUAAGUUAUUAAGAAAUAACUGCAAAUUAGCGUUACAUCUAGGAACUUCAAUUAUGCCCUUCUCAAAUUCACGGUCAAAAUUUGGUUUUUAAUGCACUGCUAACAUAACAAGCCCAGAGAAUAUCUAAUUGUCACUCCAAUUAUCAUCAUCGUCUCCAUCAUCACUUCCAACAGCCUGAAUAAUCGACAAAUGACAAGGUGAGCAGUUUUAAGAGCAAAGGUAACUAGUGCAUAAAUGUUGUUUCUUUUUUCAGUUGUGGUUGGAGGGUGAGAGAAAUGGACCUUACGGAUUGCAUUUGCCUUUUCCAGUAUUGCAGUGACGUUGACAUUGGCAGGGGGCCCUGAUGACAUAGUUGAUUUUGUCGACACGGUAGGUCUUAGAUUGGAUGACUGGAAAUCAUACAAUAAACGCAGAAGCACAGGUCAAAGCUUCAAAGAAAAUUGUAAGUAAAUAAUGCAGUUACUAUUUAUGGGAUCAAGGCACCAGUUCUUCCUUGUAGUUAUGUCAGUUAUAUGCUUAUGAUUAUAGCUAAAUUUAUGCUACGUACACCGGACUACAAGGUCGAUAAAUGGAAACAAAGGUAGUAGAUGUAGAAGAAUUUAGAAUGAGAAUCAGAACUUAAUGGAAACAAAACCACAUAGCAUAAGAAGUUUGUGCACCCUGAGAGUUUCUUAGGAUAAUGUUUUGCUUUAUGUACAAAAUAAUUGAUGGAAAUGGUAGAAAAAUCCUUAUUUAUGACAAAAUAUAGUACAUUACUAAGGAAAACUACAUGGACAACUAGCAAAGCAAGAAUGCAACUACAACAUUCUAGAUUAUCUCUAUCUAGUACUAGUAUUUAAGAAGUUCUAUAUUAAUUGGUUGAUUUCUAGUGUACUUGCCCAACAAAAUAUAUAUAUAACUCGUGUCAGUGAUCAGUCAAUGGUGACUCACUUUUGUUCUAAUCUGGUGCAGAAAAUCCUCCUGUUCAUCCAUGCUCUUAAUGCAUUCAGCCUGAUUAGUUUCUUUUCGUCUGUUCUUCUUCUGCAAGUCUGAUUGCCAAACCUAUAAAUAGUAUAAACUAUUAGAACUUUUGUGUAUGUGGUACAGGCAUGCAGCUUUAAUGAAUUAAGACAAAAGCAUAACUCAAAAUAGGAAAUUUGUGAUACCAUACCUUGUUUUUUUGCAACUCUGUGCUUGCCGUAAUUUGAUUUUGCUCAAGGGGAUCUGGCUUAGGUAGCUGAGAAAUUGUAGAUGCUGAAAGUACAAGGUUAACUGCAUAGUUAGGGGCCUUAGGGCCUUCAGACAUCGCAUUGGGCCAAUCAUCCGUAAAUGAGUGAUUUAGAGUGUCCAAACUAGGAAGAUUGAAUGAAUGGCGAGAUUGAAGUCCACUGCUGUCAUAGAUCUCUCCAUGAUUUGUCCUCUCGUUUUCCAUAAUUGUUGAAACGCAAUCUGUCAAUGAGAUUCUACGUAAUGCAUCAUAUACAUCAUGGUCCUUGUUACUGGGACAAUCAUUUGAUUCCCACUGCUCAGAAUCUGACUCCGAUUGAUUGCUAUGACAACCAUCUGAUACAGAAGGUGAUGAUCUAUAGAAUGUCUGAUCAUCCGAGUCUGAAGCAACAUUGUGCCAUGCAAUGGAUGCCUCUGGGACCAACUGAAAUGAAGGAAAAAUAUCUCUGCUGUUUUCAGGAUUACCAUUGCCAUCUGGAAAUUUCAAUUUCAGCUUGGAUGUCUCAAAGUCCUGAAUUGGAUGGAAAAAUAUCUUCAUGUGCUCAAGAGGUGGUGAUGAAGAAGGCGACAUAAAAGGAGAUCCAGCUCCAAACAAAUCUUUAGACGAUGUUUGAUGUGCAACACUUAUAUUAUUGUUCUGCUUGAAAACUUUGGCAUUCACGUUGUUGAUCGGACCAUGGUUUUUGUACACCUCAAGUGAGAGUCUUUUGUUAGAUCCAUUGGUGAGUCUGUCGCCAAGUUCAAAGAUCCGAGAUGAACUUCUGUUACUCUCCUGGUGGUCUUUGGCCCUUUGGACGUCCAAUUUGACAGCUGGAAUAUUAACAUAAUUUGGAUGAGUUGAAUCACUAGAUUUUUCAAGUUUGACACUUAAAUCCAUAGGUGAAUAUUUCCAAGCUUCCUUCCUAAGUGAGAGCCCAUCUUCUCGGUAACCUUGGCAUGAAGUAGAGCAAUCCACAUCCAUACCUUGUUCCAUCUUCUCAGAAUUCCCGAUUUGAUCAGGUUUAGCUGCAUCUUUACCACUACUGAGAAGGCUGCUCUGACUAAAAGUACUAACUUUUCCGUCUUCGCCAUUCAUGGGACCCUUAGGGAUAGCAUUUAGGACACUGCAAUCAGGAGGCUUUGAUGGCUCAAGUCCUAACAAGCCACCAUUUGUCCAGAACAUUACUGAAGCAAUGCUGGAAGUUUCUGGUGCUGGUACUUGAGACUUGGGACUGCUUGUUGUCCUACUAGUAAUUGGCAUCCUUGACAUAUCCUCGACCAAGUCUGACGAUGAUACUUUGCCCAAGACGUAUUCUACUUUUACCCCAACAUCAACAUUAUCCUUUUCAUGAGAAUCAACACCUUGCAGACCGCCUGGAUUCAAUAACUCACUACCCUUUUGAGUUGACUGUAAAUGAGUAUUGUGCUCGAAGGAGACCGGGUUGAAUUUAUCUUUUGCUGCUUCUCGGUCAGUAAAACAGUAAGAUGAAGAAGCAUUAUUGGGAGACAUUGAAAUGGGAUCGCAACCAUCACUACCCGAAAUGGGAUCACGUCCGUCAAUACCAUUUACAAGAGAACUGUUGGCCAAAAUGUCAGAUUCAAAAUUUGAUGAACGAAAUUCAGAAUGAUGUGUCCUAAACCCACAUGAUAUGUCAACUACUGCUUUGUCCUCCAAUUUAGAGUAAUGCUGUACUUCAUGCUUCGUUGCGCAGUCUUUAUCCGUUUCAGACUCAGACUCAAUGGUAUGAAGAGCAUCCAUGAAAUGGUCUGUUUCACUUUCAAUGUCAUCAAGCUGGUUUUCACCAGAGUCCAGCACUGUCACAGUUUCGUUACAAGGAUGAACAUCCAUUUGGUCAACAUUUUCAAAAUUAUCAGGUUUAUAACCUUGAAUUUCUGGCUCAAAAUUUGGGGAAAAUAAUCCUAAAUUUCCAUCAUGAUCAUAAUCUGUGGUAGGUUCCAGUAUCUCUUCCUUUUCAUCCCAAGCAACUGAAGAUGAAGAAUGUCCAGUUUGCUCUAUUGAUAAAUUAUUCUGUGUAUCAUCAUAUGCACCUGAAUCUUUUUCCUUAAAAAAAUUAAAACCUGGGGAAUCUCUGAGUUGCCUCUUUGAUGAAGAAGAUGAUUCUGUAAACAUGUGCAUUUCUAGUUCAAAAUUUGGGGGAAACGAUCCUAAGUUUCCAUAUAGAUCAUGCUCUACUACGGGCUCCAGCAUUUCUUCCUUUUCAUCCCAAGUAACAGAAGAUGAAGGACAACCAAUUUGUUCAAGUGAUAAAUUAUUGGGACUAUCAUGAUGUACAUCUGAACCUUUUUUCUCUAGAAAACUGCAAUCUGGGGAAGCACUGCGUUGCCCGUUUGAUGGUGAAGACAAUUCUUUACAUUCUUGCUCAUCGGGUUUUUUUAAGUAACUUGGACUAACAACACAUUCCACGAAGCCUAAUUUAUUUCUUGAAUCUAUAUUUGAUUGCUCCACAAAAUCUGACCCAAAUGUCUCAUCAUAUGUGGUCACUGUUUGAGAAGCAGAAACUUGUUCAUCAACAUUCAGUUUUGUGAACUGCAUUCUGAAAUGUUCAAACAUUCACAAACUUAAUCCUUGUCAACCUAACAUCAGAAGUUUUCAUAUUAAACUAUCCAAGUCAUAGACUAGUCCCAUAUUUACACCACCUAUUUCCUAGUUCAUUUAUCUCUUUUCCUGUUUUUGCUUCAGAAUUUAAACAAAAGGCAAGUACCUGCCAGUGUGAUUGGGAAUUGACGCAUCUUGUGAUACUUUUCCAUUCAUGAGCCAUGAGCUCCUUCUCUGCUCAAUAUUUUGGCAUGUAUUAGUACUUUAAAGUGAGAGGCUACGUAGGGAGGGGAAAAAAAAAAGAAAGAAAAAUCUCACGACACAUGUUAGCACAAUGAGGAUGAACAUUACAGUGUAAUCUUUUGGAUGUUUUUCUAUAGUUUCUUUUGGCACAGUCAGAUUAUUAACAAACUAAUCCAAAAAUUGCUUUGUUUUAAAAGGCUUACCAAUAAUCAGAGAAAUUCAAGAGCCAAAUUCAUUAACAGGAAAAAGGACCAAGCAUGAGAAGCAAUUCAGGUUAACAUAAAGGGAUGAAUCAAAACUUCAUCUGAUUACGCUCAGUAAUCACAGAGUAUUAUCAUUUCUGAAAUGGAAAAAUGAUCUAGCAGCAAUCAGCUGUAAAGCUGUCCAUCUCACUAAGAAAACAACCUGACAAGUAGGUUCCUAGAGAAUUUGAAAUACUUCUUGUAGCACCUAUAAAUGAGAACUAAAGAAAUAAUGUUAUUUAUGCACUUCUUGAAAAAAAAAAAGAAAAAAGAAAAAGAGUAUAUAAUCACUUGGCUAGAUCUUUAUAUUUGAUGAAACCCCACAUUCACGCAUACUUUUCUUCCAUUUACUCUUCAUUAAAUAUCAAGGAGACAAAAAUAAAAGAUUUUUUCCUUAACACUACAAAAAUAUCUUUUAAUCUAUUUCAUAACUGCAUGAAUGCAAAUAUAUCUUUUAUGCAGUUUCACACUUUCCAGAUGAUUUGACCCAAAAUGAUUUCAUGGCUAUUGUUACUCCACUGCCCUUUUGCAAAUGCAGUUCAGGCCUCUCUAGAACAGCUUGAUGCAUGGAAAGGAAAGAUGAUUUAACUAGUGCCUUUAAGAGUUAUCCAGCACAUAGAGAUCUCUUGCUCUUGUAACAAGUUUCGCAGUAAGUUUAAGUUUCUGCAUUGGUUUUAGAUGCAAUACCUCAGUCCGGCGUACCUUCUUAUCUUUCCGAAUUUUCUUACUACAUGCCUCACCAUAACCUGCUGAUGCUCUCUUAAAGAAAGUAGGAUCUGAAUACCUUCUCAAGCAAGAACCAGGACCACCAGGGUCAAACCUAUAAAAAGCUCAGACUUUUAAUGGUAGUCAACAAAAAGAAUCCGGAUAUAUACUUGAAGACUUGGCCAUACUUAUCAAGCAAUUGCAAACGUGGAGGACUGCGACAGUCUUCGUAAGAAUCCAUAAUAAAUUGAGGCGUAUCACCAUACACAAAAUGAUUUUUUCCACACCGGAUACAAGCAUGCCAAUUGCAACCUGCAAUCAACUUUUAUCAUAAGGAAGUUGAUAAGUCGGAAGAAUAAUAUUGCAUCAAGGGUAACAACUCUUAAUUUGAAGGUCCAGACAAAGUUUUGUCUGGUAAUGUAAUUUCUACAAUCACUGUACUGGAACUAGGAAUGGAGAAAGGUUGUUGGUGUGUAAAUGUCAAAGCAAGGCAAUUAACCAUACCAGCUGUAUAAGCAAGGUGUAAGUGGCUCCUCUGGCCCAGUACAGCCUUCUCAAGUGGAGGAAGUGCUUUAUCAAUUUGUUGUACACGACCCAUCAACUUACAGCUUCUGGAAGAUGUGAUCAUCACUUCUUCCUGUAAUUCAUGGAAAACCUCUGCUGCAAAUCUAUCAGACAAUAAUGCUAUUUCAGUUUUGAUAUUGUAACAUUGUUUGAAAAUCUUGAUUACUGAAGAGUGAAGACCAUUGUCCAUAGCCAACAGAAUCCUGAUAGAAGUAGCAUUGUAGAACACAUCUUAUUUCUGUAAGUCUGGAUUUUUCUGCGGGAUAAUUGUGAUUAUGUUUUCUUUCAGAGCAGACAUGCAUUUUAUACAGUAAGAUACAGCUUUUGCCUGAUUAUGAUAACCUGACCUUAGAUUGAUCGCCAAAGAGAAACUUAUAAAUAAACACAAAUAAACCAAAUAUAAAAAAGCAUAGGACACAUAAGUGAAAUGAUAUAUUAUAGGUAAAUCAACAACAACCGUUUUCUAUAGACAUUUUUUUUUUAAUCAGAGAGUCACAAUUAAACAAUAGUACGGACGCAGAUAAAUACGGAAUUACGAAUGCAUAUUCCGCAAGAAUUAAAAAUUGGGUGCAUAUCCAAUAUUUUAAUAACUAUUCCUCAACAACAAAGUUUACAUUGAAAACAAAAGCCCCUAUUUAAAACAAGAAAAACAUGGAAACUUAAAAAGAAGCUAGUGACUACUUUGCCCUCAGUUAAUAAAUAUAACAAGAUAAAUAACAUCAAUAAAACUAAAUCUACGUUUGGAAAAAUUUAUAAAUCAUUUAUAAAUGAUCAAACUUCAUUUUUAACCGUACAUUUCAAUAGAUCCAAAAGUACUAUCCACUCCACCAUUCAUUUCUAUCUACUUAUGAUCUAAUUUAUAAAUUCUUCCCAAACAAAACGUAAUUAAGAGUUCCUCUCAACUUCACAAUUUGCAUACAACAGCACCAAGUAGAAAUGUAGUUGAAGAUAAGGCAAUUUCAACACCAGAAGAUCUAGAAAAUCUGCAUUACAUAGACUGGAGGUGUAACACAUUACCAACAUAAACGAAAUGUAAGUUCACUUUACCAGUUCACAAUUUAAAAACUAAUUCUUUUUUUUUUCUUUUUUUUUUUAUAUCUCAAAUUCAGAUAAGAUUAUGGCAACAUAAGAAAAACAGCCCAUCACACGAUACUAUUUUCAUCUAAUGCAUAAAAAGAUACUGAAUUCAGACCGUAUUUGCCUCAAACUGCACUUAUCAUGACCUAAGUCUUCAAAGAAUUUUCAUAUCGUUGUUAAGUGGCUAAAGUUUUUCAUAGUUUGCAUUAUUUUACUGGAACAUGACAAAUAUAGAAUAUGGACAAUAAUCAAUUUUAACAGACUUCAGCAGAAACAACACACAUUCAAACAUUGAAAAGGAAAUUACACAGAAGUAGUUAAAACACUGAAUUUUCCAAAUUAAAAAAAAUGCAAAUAAGAAGCAACAAACCACUAAAAAAACUUCAUAUAAAUGAACAAAGGAACAAACCACAAAAUUCCCAAAUUGAGCACCAAACUACACAAUAAAAAAACAACAAACCACUAAAAAAAACUUCAUAUAUCGAUAACAAAAUUGAAUUUUGGAAAAAAACGAACAUACUCAGCGAGAUCGCCGAGCUGACGUAAAAUUCCGACGAGGCCGGCAACAGCAACUCCAUCCAGCACUGCCUUCGGAUCCUCAUUAUUGGCAUUUUCGUGCAUAUCCAGUGCUCCAAGUCCGUACUCAUUCCUGACUUCCACUCUAACCAAAGGCAUCGUUCCUUCAUACAAAUGCAAACUCCCUUUCUCUCACACACACUACGCUCACAGAAGAAAGAAGAACUCUGAGAGACGCUAAAUAAAUGAAAUGGGAAAUAAAUUCAAUGAAUGAAUUAAUUAAAAGCAAUAGAGAGUAAAGCAGAGAAUUUCAGCUCCUUAAAUGACAAGAGAGUGAUUCAUAGAGAGAGGUUGAUAUAUAUAUGUGUGUGUGUGUGUGUAGAGAGAGAGAGAGAGAGAGAGAGAAGUUUUGUUUUUAUAUAUUGGGCAAACGGAAGAAGACAUUGCCAACUCUGCAAGCCAUUCCUGAGAGUGCAUUUGGGUAUUUUUCGUGUUAGUCAUCUAAUUUUAAUUUAUAUCAAUCUGAUCAUAUAGUUUAAAUUUUUAUUCAAUUUAACCAUUAUGUCUAAUACAGGGAUCAAAGCUGGCAGUAAUGCAACCUAAUUUUGACACUAUCGACCUUGUUAAAAAAUUGAAUCAAAAUGAGUGCGACUCAAUUAACGAUGUGUCGUGCCCGAUUAACUAAUCAGAUGACCUAUGUGUGGAUAGUGAUGACCCAAUGGGCAUGAUUGUGAGAAAAAAGAAAAACAAGAAUUGAUUUUAAACACACACUUUAUGGGAACAAUAAUAUUUAUCAAAAUAUACUAAAAAUAUUAUUCAUAGCAGUUAACAAUAACAAAAAGAAAUUAAAUGAUACAAUUUUAAAAUGAACAGUAGUAUAGACUUACAUUAAACAGCGUACAAGGACUCAUUGUCCGAUUGUAGAGGCGGUGCCCACGGAAGCUUGAAGUUGUUGGCGCGUACUCAUGAGACCUCAGUCCAACCGGUGGUGGUACAAUCUAUUUUCCUGUUCCAAUUCACACAUAUGGACGGCUUCAAUAGCGUACAAGGACUCAUUGUCCGAUUGUAGAGGCGGUGCCCACGGAAGCUUGAAGUUGUUGGCGCGUACUCAUGAGACCUCAGUCCAACCGGUGGUGGUACAAUCUAUUUUCCUGUUCCAAUUCACACAUAUGGACGGCUUCAAUAAUCAGUUCAAUAAAUUGCUUCUCUCGUCCCAUUUCCAGAAUUUUAAUCGGUAUUGUCAGCCGCAAAUUCAAUGCAUAGCAAGCAGUAAAAUCUGAUGACAAGCUGAUGAUUGUGUAUUGGAUAUUAUAAGUGUGGUGUCGCAGCAGUUUAAGCAGACAUAAAGAAAGAGGCUCGAACUGGAAAAUGUUUGGAGUUAUGGGUUGUGUCCAAUUGAUGGUGAGGUUCUGCCGGUGGCGACGGGUGAGGCGGGAGCGACAGUAGGAGCGGCAACGGUGCCUGGAAAGAGAUGAAGUUGGAGACCGGGUGUGCUGUUGUCGAAGUGGCAGAGAGGUGUUAGUAGCGGCGAGUGAGAGAUGCACCGCUGAUGUCGGUGGUGCUGGAGAGUGGUGUCGUCGGCGUGGGGGAGGGACGUUGGUGGGAGUAGCUAAUGGGUCCGGUUGACGACGUACAGGCACGGGGACGCUUAAUAUUGUCGAGUGAUUAGGUGUUGGCGGAGAUGAGGGUUAUGGUGUGGGCCAGGUAAUGGCUAUGUUGAAAUGGGUUGAGUGAUAAUAUAAGAUUGGGCAUUGAUUAUAUGGGUUUUGGAGUUAUCGGGCUACGUGGGUUUGGGCUGUGUGGGUUAUGAUUUAGGGAGUCAGGAGUGUCUGGGGGUAUAUAUGGGUUGUUCUAGGGUUUGGAUUAGCGAGAAUUGGGCUGGUUUUAUAUGUGAGCCGAUCGUAAGUAGGUUUGAGUGUUAGGGUUGGACUUUGUGAAAGAAAUAGCACUGCAAUUUAUCUAGCAGCAACAACAAACAAUUUUCUUCUAGAAACUGAUGAAAAGACUAAACUAAAAUUUUCGAACGUGAAUAGUACACGUGAACAGUAACCUUUUUUUCCCCACAAAGAAAGAAAACUGAAAAAAAUGAAAAAUGUUGUUCUUACGCUAAAUCCUUUUCACUUGUGCUAUUCUAACAAAUUUUGGAUAGAAGGCAAGAAGAAAUUUUGGAUCGUAGAUUAAGCUUAUCCAAGUUUUGACUUUGAUAUCAAAUUUGAUGCAGGACCAACUGGAUAAUUAAUGAAGAACAAAAUAGAUCUAUGAAGAAGAUGGAACUAAGGAAAGAACGGUAUAAGAGGAAGAGUCAAUAGAAGAAGUAGAAGAAGGUAGAAAAGAGAGAAAUUUCAUCACAAGCCACCAAAAUAAUUUAGUUAUUUAUUAACUGUCUCAAUAACAUGACAAACUAGGUUGAAAUAUCAAAACAAAAUCCUAAAGAGAAAGGCCAAGCCCAUUAUAAAAUUUCACUAACAUAAAUAAUAGUCCAACUAAAAUAAACAAAAUAAAUAAGAGUCCAAAUAAAAUAAAACAACUAUAAGUGGAUGUCCUCAUCACUUCCACGACUAAGAGAGAAAAAGGGAGGACACUUGGAAAAUGAGAUGAAGAAGAGAUAAGCUGAUACUUCUUAGGAAAUUACUCGUAGCAUUAUUUCUUAAUUUUUCUAAUAUGAAAUAUAUACAGUAUUAGAAAUAGCUAUAGCAAGCAUUCUGAAGGUAUGGGAUUACAACAAUUGUCUUACAUAUAUGUCUGUCCUCUCUUCUUUUAACUCCCAAACCAAAAGCAAAAAUUACUUAGACGAUGGCUCAACUUCUCGUUUGGGCCGAUUGCGGGUGCGUGGUGCUGCAGGUUCAUUUUCUAAAGGAAUGUUAACUUCAUCCUCAUCCUCCUUUGCUUCUAGUAUAGCUUGGUUUAUUGCAACCUGGUUCAUCACACAACUGAAGUUAUGCACCAUCUUAUCUUCAAACAUGAAUCAAGUACUUUGAAUACACACAAGCCUAUAAUGAUACCUGACACAAUUUUUCUUCAGGAAAAAAAGAAACAAAAGAUGAAGGAUAAACACUGCUCCAGAUCUUGAGAAAUGAUUGAACAGCAAAUAUCACAAUUUGUAGUGAUAUUUAACAAAUCAAGUUAUGGCCAUUGAAAUUCAGAUAUUGCUAGUGAUAAAACAGAACCGCCUGGUGAGUUAGCAACUAGCAAUUACUAAAAUUCCAAAACCAUUCAUAUAUAAAACUUAAAAUUCAGUUGAAAAAUUAACAAUGUAAGAGAUAAAACAGGACAGCACUUUGAGCAUUUUAGAAUGAUACUUGGACACUACUUGAGAAACUAUAAACUUAGUUUAUUUAAGAAUUUGCAUGUCACAUAUAACCACGUUGGACUGCAAAAAUCAUUUCAGCUACCUCAUGCAUAUUCAGUUUUUCUUUUUCCCCCACUACUACACAUUGGAGGAUGCUGAGAAUCCAAAGAGGUGCUUCGCUUAUAGUAUAUAACGGAUAAAAACUUUUCACUUCUAGUAACAGAAAUUGUAAUAUUGAACUACCAAGCAUCUGCAUUCCAUUAAUUCAAGGAAAUGUCUUUGGUUACUCAUGGACAGGCUGGAAGCAAGCAAUGUAGAAAUUAUAUACGAGUUUUUCUUAACAGAUCCUAUCUCCUUAGGAAAAAGUUAUGAAUAAUUACAGGAAAAAAAUUUCACUCAUAUCUUUUAAUAAAGACUUUUUGACUGUGCCCAGGGAUAAUAUAUGAAUACACAAAAACUUUUUUCUUGAGCAUAGCAUCUCUCCAUUUACAUAUACUUUUCUUCUUCAUUCCUUAAUCAAUACUGCUCUGAGAUGCUUCCUGAGAUAAGUGCAACUAGCCCACACAUUUUUCGCUCUUUCUAUGAGAAUAUAAAGGGUGAGACAACAGUCUAUAUUCCUUGAAAUUUUCCCAUAGCUUGCACCUCUCUAGCCCUAAGACUUCAUUGUGACCAGUCUUGUAGGUCAAGCCAGCAGGUUGUCUUACGAAUCAGUUGCAAGCUUUGGCAUCCUUGAAGAAUUGAAGGAGACAACCUAAGAGAUCCGAGCUUUAGCGAAGUUAUCAGUAAAUAUUUGAAUUUGGCCUCAGGCUUGAGUUUCAAAGUUCUAAUAAAGGACAUCUUAGUUACGUUGUGACAUGGCCUUGCAUUAGCAAUCAAGAAGUUUAGGCUUCUAUUAGAGUUGACCCACAGCAAUAGCAUGCUAGGCUGACAUGUGGGAUCUCUUCAUCGAAGUGAAAAUGACAUAAGUUCAAACUCAAAUAGGAAGCCUCAAGUUAAGAUCCUCAUGCAGGGGUACAGAGUUUUAUUUUUGAUGCACAUCUAAAAGGAGAACUGUAAAAACGGUGCCAAUAGACUAUUUUAUUUAGGGAAGUUGAAACUUCUCAAGCCUUCAUGACGUUAGCACAUUGUGGACAGUGUCUGGGUAAGCAUUGGCCCCAUGAUAAACGUGCAAGGAGACUUCAGCAAGAUUAUUGAAGUCAUGCAUAAAGUGUUUCUGUGAGGUCAUACUUACAAUAGGAGUUUCUGGGAACUGCUAAUUGUGAAUUUCAAGAGAUAUUGAGAAAUUUCUUACUAAGUUCUGGAUCUUUGAAGUUCAUUUACUUGAGAAAUUAUUGCUUGAGGUGUGAUGCAGUAGCAUUUUCAUAAUUUCAAAUUAUUGUGAGGGAAAUAUUCACUUGUUGACAAUCUGGUGGAGUUGAGAUUUUGAAGAGCUGACACUGAGGAUGAGAUCUUGGUUUGCUAUUUUAGGGAAGGCAUGUUUACAAGUAUCAGUCAUUCCCCAUCAUACUACAGGGUAGCCUUUGGAUCCUUUUGAACUAAGCAAGCAACAAUCUUAGAAUCCUGGGGUAAGGGGUCCCUUACGGUAGACUUUUGGGAUCUCAAAGAACCUCUAGAGUUCCCCAUGCAAGUUUGUAUUUGCAUGCAGCAUUGGAACCGCGGCAGACAUUAGGCAUUGAUUUUGGGCAAAAGCUACAUAAUAGGAACCACUAUGCUCCAUGGGAUAUCAUCUUGCUAUAGGCCAAAUAAGCUAUUGUAACAAGCAUACCAAGAGCCUUGUGUGUCAACUUGUCUGCAUUGGCUGCUAUGGGUUCUAGCCUUGCUGCCUUCAUGCAAAGAGGUCAAAUAGAAGGCAAGUAUUGGCAAGAUGCCAACGUGAAACAAACCGUGUAGUAUGAUCAUAGUUUGAUGGUACUUCAAGAAAGAAUUGGAUUUACAUGUGAUCCUACUAAACGGCACUAACUUGAUGACCACAAGGAUAGUUUCUCCCUUACCACCAAAUAUUCAUGGAAUGAACCAUGUGUUGAGGGAAAACGUGGGAAAUAAUCUACUCAAGAUCACCGACAAAGAAACGAAAUGAUGUGGGAGUGGGAAUCACGACAAAUGUGAGUAAUGCGGAUCAGAAAGUAUGUUGGCACCAGGUGCAACAUGGUGACACAUUGAGUAUUCAUGCUAAUAACCUUCAUGGCCUCAAACUUGCAAUUGGUCAUCAAUAAGAUUCAAAGAUACAUUUAAACCGAGCCAAAGAAUCUAUCAUCACAUAUUCAGUUAAUCCAAGAAAACAUGACAGUAAAGGAAGGGUAAUGUUACUAGAAUGAAUGGAGAUGUGUGUUGAAAGAGAACUUCCCCUCCUUAUCUAGAGAAACCCGUGACCCAUGACUUAUUAUUUCUUAAUAGGAGAGAAAGGUUGGACUUUGGGAACGAAGACUUUGAGGCAUCAAAUGGGUGAAAAAUAGACCAGUGACACAAGACCUUGACUUCCAUCCAGUGUGAGUAAACUAUAUACUGUCAGAAGUCUGUACACAUAAGUUGAGUUCAUUUUUUGCUAUUAACAGCUACCGAUGUAAGCAGCCACUAAUUGUGGAUCUACCCCUCUCCUUGUGCCAAUAGUGUCGUAAUUGUUUAUCCUACUCUUCUACUUGCACAACCUCCCGAUAUUAUCCCUUCAAGCAUUAUCUUUCCCCAUAUGAGCAGCCGUCAAAUACGGCUCUGCCCACCUGUCCUUGAAUCAAUAGCAUCACAAUUUUGUAUCCUACUCUACUACUAGCACAACCUCCUGAUAUCGUCUAUUCGAGCAUUAUCUUUCUCAUCAUUUCAAUGCACUAAGGCCAUCUCACCACUUCUCUUGUCCCGCUUUCAUGACACGAACGAAUUAUAAUCUCGCAAGAAAAGAAAGAUGCGGCAUUUUUACACUAGUAAAUACAUGUUAUCAUAAAAUUACCAUUUGUUAUGCAAAAAUUUAAAAUUUCCAGAUAUGGCCUUAACGUUCAGGGGCAGACCUGGGGGGGGGGGUUUAUAGGGGCAAUUGACCCCCUAGAUUUUGGGGAAAAAAAAAUUAUUGCUUAGCUUUUUUUUUUUUUUUUCCCUUAAUUUUUUUUAUUAGAAGAUACCUGUAAAUUUUAUUUUUGCCCCCUUAAGCCAAGUCGUCUGGGUCCGCCCCUGUUAACGUUGCACAAUUAUAACUAACACCAAAAGUUCUAACAGGAACCAAAAUAUGACAGCCUCAAAAAAACCUAACAUAAAAGAGAGUGAAAGAAACCCAUGAACAAUCCUUCAGCGUGAUUACAAGUAAACAAACAAGCAUCUCGAAAAACCAAUGAAAACCCAUUAAUAAUUCUAUCUAUUACACAUAAACGCGAACAUCAAGAAUAUGUAAGAAUUUGCUUAC
rnacentral:lncRNA from 1 species